CCGACUUGGAGGUUGUGCCCUUGAGGCGUGGCUUCCGGAGCUAACGCGUUAAGUCGACCGCCUGGGGAGUACGGCCGCAAGGUUAAAACUCAAAUGAAUUGACGGGGGCCCGCACAAGCGGUGGAGCAUGUGGUUUAAUUCGAUGCAACGCGAAGAACCUUACCUACUCUUGACAUCCAGAGAACUUAGCAGAGAUGCUUUGGUGCCUUCGGGAACUCUGAGACAGGUGCUGCAUGGCUGUCGUCAGCUCGUGUUGUGAAAUGUUGGGUUAAGUCCCGCAACGAGCGCAACCCUUAUCCUUUGUUGCCAGCGAUUCGGUCGGGAACUCAAAGGAGACUGCCAGUGAUAAACUGGAGGAAGGUGGGGAUGACGUCAAGUCAUCAUGGCCCUUACGAGUAGGGCUACACACGUGCUACAAUGGCAUAUACAAAGAGAAGCGACCUCGCGAGAGCAAGCGGACCUCAUAAAGUAUGUCGUAGUCCGGAUUGGAGUCUGCAACUCGACUCCAUGAAGUCGGAAUCGCUAGUAAUCGUGGAUCAGAAUGCCACGGUGAAUACGUUCCCGGGCCUUGUACACACCGCCCGUCACACCAUGGGAGUGGGUUGCAAAAGAAGUAGGUAGCUUAACCUUCGGGAGGGCGCUUACCACUUUGUGAUUCAUGACUGGGGUGAAGUCGUAACAAGGUAACCUUAGGGGAACCUGC
rnacentral:rRNA from 1 species